rnacentral:rRNA from 1 species
AGCGAACGCUGGCGGCAGGCUUAACACAUGCAAGUCGAGCGGGCCUUUCGGGGUCAGCGGCGGACGGGUGAGUAACGCAUGGGAACGUGCCCUCUGGUUCGGAAUAACUCAGGGAAACUUGAGCUAAUACCGGAUACGCCCUUUUGGGGAAAGGCUUGCUGCCGGAGGAUCGGCCCGCGUCUGAUUAGCUAGUUGGUGAGGUAACGGCUCACCAAGGCGACGAUCAGUAGCUGGUCUGAGAGGAUGAUCAGCCACACUGGGACUGAGACACGGCCCAGACUCCUACGGGAGGCAGCAGUGGGGAAUAUUGGACAAUGGGCGCAAGCCUGAUCCAGCCAUGCCGCGUGAGUGAUGAAGGCCUUAGGGUUGUAAAGCUCUUUUAUCCGGGACGAUAAUGACGGUACCGGAGGAAUAAGCCCCGGCUAACUUCGUG